AACCUAUGGCAGACUACCCUGAGUGUGCCCAGACUCUUCUGAUGUCAGAAGUUCAGCAGGUUCGGGCUGGUUAGUAUUUGGAUGGGAGUCCAAACACAAAAAUGACAUCCGGUGU
rnacentral:rRNA from 1 species